rnacentral:lncRNA from 1 species
AGUGCUCAUCACACUGUGAUACAGUUACUUACUAAUAUCUUUUUCUACUCAAUUUUCUGUGCACUCACAGAAGGCAGAAACUGUACCUUUCAUUUCCAUGAUUCUCAUGGAUAAAGCCCUCAAUAAAUGUUUGCCAGAUGAAUGACUUGCCCAAGGUCACACUGCUAAUAUAUGGCAGAACCGGGACCAGAACCAAGACCUCCGACUCCCCAGAUCCCAUAUCCUUGCUGUUCUCCUGGGAUGUUUUCUGGAAGAAAAUGAGCUGUGGGCCUAAAAAGAAGCCAAUCAAGCAUUUGGCAGGCUCAGAUUGGAAAUAUACCAUUAGCUGUCCUGGGCCUCGAGUUUGCCAACCUCAGAUCUUGGGACUUCUCUACCUCCAUAAUCAUUCUCGCUCUAUUGCCAGGCUGGAGUGCAGUGGCACAAUCUUGGCUCACUGCAACCUCUGCCUGCCAGGUUCAAGCAAUUCUCCUGCCUCAGCCUCCCAAGUAGCUGGGACCACAGUCUGGCUUCUCACUGCUGAACUUUUCUGGAACACACCUGGUCAUUGCAUUGGCUAGCCAAAUAAGGCCACAUCUGGAGAUGGACCUUCCCACGUCACCCUCCAAGAGAAGUAGUACAUCGGCUUCCUCUCGGAGUCAUAAAUGUUCUGAAUGGAGUAAGUCCACAGAGAUUCCUCGACUGGAGACGGAAACAGGCCUAGAAAGGAGAAGGGUUUGAGCACAGGUCACAUGCCCACAGCUGGUGGCUGUGCUGGGCCUGGGCGUGUUUUCCGUUCCCCCACAUCACCCUGCUUCCUUAGCAUUCCUGGGAGCUGAUGUAGCUGGGACUACAGGCGCCCGCCACCAUGCCCGGCUAAUUUUUUGUAUUUUUAGUAGAGACGGGGCUUCACCGUGUUAGCCAGGAUGGUCUCGACCUCCAGACCUCGUGAUCUGCCUGCCUCAGCCUCCCAAAGUGCUGGAAUUACAGGCGUGAGCCACCAUGCCCGGCCGGAGCCAGAGUUCUUAACUAUGGAAGAGGGAAGAUAUAAUUAUGGGUGGGUUAGAUUGGAACUGGAUGUGUUAGUAUGAACUAAUGAUUUCUAAAAUCCAAACACACAUACACCACAACCACCACCAUUACCACUGCUGUGAAGACAUGGAACACCUGCGUCAUAAUCUCUCCACCCCGGGCAACCUCUGAUUUGCUUUCUGUGUCUUUUUUCUCUGGUUGUUGUUUUGUUUUGUUUUUGGUUUUUUUUUGGAGACGGAGUCUUGCACUGUCGCCUGGGCUGGAGUGCAGUGGCACCAUAUUGGCUCACUGCAAGCUCUGCCUCCCAGGUUCACGCCAUUCUCCUGCCUCAGCCUCCCGAGUAGCUGGGAUUACAGUUACCCGCCACCACACCCAGCUAAUUUUUUGUAUUUUUAGUACAGAUGGGGUUUCACCGUGUUGGCCAAGCUGGUCUCAAACUCCUGACCUCAUGAUCCACCCACUUUGGCCUCCCAUAGUGCUGGGAUGACAGGCAUGAGCCACUGUGCCCGGCCUCUCUGGUUGUUUUAAAGACUUUCUUUGUAUCAUUGGUUUUCAGCAAUUUGACUGCCUUCAUGUAGUUUUCUUUGUAUUUAUUCUGCUAGGGGAAUGGUUAAAUUUCUUGACUCUAUGGGUUGAAAUUGGAAGGUUUUUCAACUAUUACUUCGUCAAAUAUUUUUUUCUGCCUCUUGCCUCUUGCCAUAUACAUGUACUCCCAUUACAUGUAUAUCAGACCUUGAGAUGUCCCACAGAUCACUGAGACUUUGCUCCUUCUUUUUCUUUGUGUGCUGCCUUUUGGAUAGUUUCUAUGGCUAUGUCUUCAAGUUCCUUUGCAGUACCUAAUUUUUCAUCUCAGAUGUAUUUUUUCAGUUCUAAAAGUUCCAUUUGUUUCCUUUUUAUAGUUUCUAUUUCUCUCUUCAUUAUAUUUAUGUUUUCCUUUAAAUCUUUGAGCAUACGUACAAUAGCUGCUUUAAGUUUCUUGCCUACUAAUUGCAUCAUCUCUCUCAGUACAUUUUUCCUGCUUUUUCGGAUGUCAGGAAACUUUUUAGACACUGGAGCCCAGCUCUCCCACUAUACUAUGAGGUUGUGGAAAACUGCAGUUUCAAUGACCACUGCAAUCUCUUAAUACACUCAUUCCAAGAGUGUUCUCCUGGGCAGUGCAACCCCAACAGCAGAGAGCUAUGUAGCCCCUGCUGUAGCAGAGCCAGGGCCCCAAUGCCUGCUGAGAGCUGGGACAGGACCCCGUGGUGCUGCAGAGAGGUCAGUCCGAACCCAAGGGGUACUGCCCUCUAACACUUGGAAAGCUGAGCACCCCUUGCUCCUAGGAGUCCAACUCACCAGUGAGUUCUAAUGUCUCGUUGACCUCAGUGUGCAUCUCUCAGUAUGCCUUGCUAAGUUUAGUCUUACCCUUGGUGCUGAUACUGCUCCUGACCUUGCCAGUGAAGUGGUCCUCCUUCUCUCUCUGCUGAGGGACCUCUGCUGGCCCAAGGGAAAAGCCAACCCCCUUCCCUGUCCUGGCUUGGUUGGCAGAGGACCCAACAUCCACUCCCUCUCCUCCUCACGCUUGUCCUCCCCAGGCGCCUUGGAGGCAUUGGAGACAGGAUGCAGGGAAGGAGCCCCCUCUGCUUCCACUACUGAGCAGGGAUUAGUCCAGAAGGUACCCAGGAGGGGAAAGGUGGACUGAAAGACUGCUUUUCCUCCCCUUUAACCCUCCCUUCUGUCUCUACAAAAAUCAAAUCAAAAUGGAUUAAUGACUUAAAUCUAAGACCUCAAACUAUAAAACUACUAAAAGAAAACAUUGGGGAAACUCUCCAGGACAUUGGUUGGGGAAGAUAUUUCUUGAGUAAUACCCCACAAGCACAGACAACCAAAGCAAAAAUGGACAAAUGGGAUCACGUCAAGUUAACAAGCUUCUGCACAGCAAAGGAAACAACCAACAAAGUGAAGAGACAACCUACGGAACGGGAGAAAAUAUUUGCAAAUUACCCAUCUGACAAAGGAUUAACAAUCAGAAUAUAGAAGGAGCUCAAACAACUCUACAGGAAAAUAAAUCUAAUACUCCAAUAAAAAAUGCCCAAAAGACUUGAAUGGGCAUUUCUCAAAAGAAGUCAUAAAUGGCAAACAGGUAUAUGAAAAGGUGCUCAACAUCACAGAUAAUCAAAGAAAUGCAGAUCAAAACCACAGUGAGAUAUCAUCUCACCCCAGUCAAAAUGGGUUAUAUACAAAAGACAGGCAAUAAUAAAUGCUGGUGAGGAUGUGGAGAAAAGAGAAUCCAUGUACAGUGUUGGUGGGAAUGUAAAUUAGUACAAGCACUCUGAAGGACAGUUUGGAGGUUCUUCAAAAAACUAAAAAUAUAGCUACCAUAUGGUCCAGCAAUCCCACUGCUGGGUAUGAACCUAAAAGAAAGGAAAUCAGUGUAUUGAAGAGAUGUCUGCACUCCCAUGUUUGUUGCAGCACUGUCACAAUAGCCAAGAUUUGAAACCAACCUAAAUAUCCAUCCACAGAUGAAUGCAUAAGGAAAACGUGGUAGAUAUACACAAUGGAGUACUAUUCAGCUUUGAGAAAGAAUGAGAUCCUAUCAUUUGCAACAUGGCUGGAACUGGAGGUCAUUAUGUUAAAUGAAAUAAGCCAGGCACAGAAAGACAAACAUUACAUGUUCUGACUUAUUUGUGGGAUGUAAAAAUCAAAACAAUUGAACUCAUGGAGAUAAGUCAGUUAGAAGGACGGUUACCAGAGGCUGGGAAGGCUUGUGGCGGGGGGCAGGGAGGAGAUGGGGGAGAGGUAGAGUAGGGUAAUGGGUACCAAAAAAAAGUUGGAAAGAAUGAAUAAGACCUAGUAUUUGAUAGAAUAGGGAGACUAUAAUAAAAAAUAAUUUAAUUAUACAUUCUAAAAUAACUAAAAGAAUGUAAUUAGAUUGCUUGUAACACAAAGGAUAAAUGCUUGAGGAGAAGGAUAUGCCAUUUUCCAUGAUGGGAUUAUUAUGCAUUCCAUGCUUGUAUCAAAGUAUCUCAUGUACCGCAUAAAUAUAUACACAACUAUGUAACCCCAAAAAUGAAAAAUUAAAAAUUUUUUUAAAACGAAGUUUCACUCUUGUCACCCAGGCUGGAGUGCAAUGGCACCAUCUUGGCUCACGGCAACCUCCACCUCCUAGGUUCAAGCGAUUCUCCUGCCUCAGCCUCCUGAGUAGCUGAGAUUACAGGCAUGUGCCACCAUGCCGGACUAAUUUUUGUAUUUUUAGUAGAGAUGGGGUUUCACCAUGUUGGCCAAG